rnacentral:rRNA from 1 species
AUGAAACACUCCUACGGGAGGCAGCAGUGGGGAAUUUUGGACAAUGGGGGCAACCCUGAUCCAGCAAUGCCGCGUGAGUGAAGAAGGCCUUCGGGUUGUAAAGCUCUUUUGUCAGGGAAGAAACGGUAGUAGCUAAUAUCUAUUACUAAUGACGGUACCUGAAGAAUAAGCACCGGCUAACUACGUGCCAGCAGCCGCGGUAAUACGUAGGGUGCAAGCGUUGUCCGGAAUUAUUGGGCGUAAAGAGCGUGUAGGCGGUCCGGUAAGUCGGCUGUGAAAGUCCAGGGCUCAACCCUGGGAUGCCGGUCGAUACUGCCGGACUAGAGUUCGGAAGAGGCGAGUGGAAUUCCCGGUGUAGCGGUGAAAUGCGCAGAUAUCGGGAGGAACACCUAUGGCGAAGGCAGCUCGCUGGGACGUUACUGACGCUGAGACGCGAAAGCGUGGGGAGCAAACAGGAUUAGAAACCCUUAUAGUCCGAAGUUC